GCCAUGAGUGAGAAGAGUCACUGGUAUUGCAAGAUGUAGAGAGUAUCUGAAGACUUCUCAUUUCUGAAUAGCUCUACCUCUGAUCAUGCCUGAAAUUCCAUUACAAAUCUAUUUCUUGAAGGUGUGUUUUAAUUUAUGGGGGCUGAAAAGGAUACUGAACACUAGUGACCAAGGACUCUCAAAUGCUAUGACUGAGAAGGCAGUAAAGCAAGGACUCUCCCUCAGAAGGAAGCCAUGGAUGUUCUGACACCUCAGGACAACGCACCUGAGUAGGACCGUGGUGGGCGAAGGGAAAAUGCCUGACACCUGGUAUCUACCCCUCAGGAUGGACUGAUGUUUGCUGAUGCUUUUCCCUGGGGAACAGUCUCCUGCACUUCCAUGGUGGAAUGAAAAACUUGGCCUGAGGUUUUAGCCAUCAUGAACAGAUAUGUUGAACCACCUAAAUCUACAGAUUCAUUACAAGUGCCACUUCAUAUUCAGAGAGAGUGAUUUUUUUUCUCCCUUUAUGUGGACCCCUCUGGGAUGUCUCCAGCGGAGCAAGAGUCAGACCUACCUUGUUCAUAGUUUUCUUCAUAUGAAAUGCAUUGCUUAGCACCUCGUAGGAGCUUCAUUGUAUAUAUGUGGAAUCACUGAAUCAACAUAAAAGGAAGGAUAAAACUUUGGCGUUGAUAAAAGAAGAGCAACAGCAAAUCCCACCCCCGCCAUUUACUGGCCUGUUAACUUCUCUCUGCCUGAAUUUCCUCAACUGCUAAGUGGGAAGGAUCGUGAUAAUCACAGCAUGUACCUCGCGAUACCUUGAUUUCUCGGGCUGUGCUUCCUGCAACAUGGAGGGUCUGUAACAGCACAGUGCUCAUGAGGGAACUUCAGCCAUGUCUGUCUUGGGCCAUCGCACAGAUGAUUCCUGCAUUUGCCCGGGGUGCACUGCCCAAAUCACCCCUCAGAACAAACACUGCCCUUCACCCUGCUGUCCAGACUUUUGACCCCUGACCCAUCACAGACAAGUCCCUCAACAGGAAUUGCCCUUGACUGAAGGCAGUUUCCUUACUGAGGGGGACGGAGCCCCAGAAUAACUGAAAUGGGCCUUUCUCUGAGAGGUUGGUGAUUUCUUCGGCAGCCUGCCUGGCAUGUGACAUGGGAGCUUUCAGCAUGGUACUGUUAAUAUCCCACCUUGAAGAUGAGGAAUCUGAAGCACAAAGGUAACACUUACUAAACUCUUUAAAUGGUAGUUAAUUAUUACUAACCAUCUGGAUUGUUCCCAGUGGCCAUUAAUCCCACAGAAAUGAGAGGGGCUGGAUAAAGAGAAGAAAAAAAAGGCUUCUCAUCUUCAGGCUUCUUCAAGGAGAAAAUUUAUGGUCUCUGGACUAGAGGACCUAUGUUCCAGGGGAAGGCAUGUCCUGGAGGUUUCUUACCCAAGACUGUGAAUCCCAGACUUCGAGCGGUGGAGAAAUUGCUAACCAUGAUAACUCAUUUAUGGGCUCAGACAUUAUGGAUAUGAGAGGAAGUCUGCUGGCCUGGAGCAUGAAAACAGCAAGGAUUGAAAUAUAUAAGCAGAGAGAAGAAUUCUGUACGUUAGUGUUAUGUUUCUGAGUUUCUCCUGGGACGAGGGUGAUUCAUUAUAUAAACAGGGAUGAGAUCACAUGGGCCGAUCAGGAUCUACAAUAAAUCUUGAGACAACUCCGGGAAGGGUACUCUGUGGUGUUAGCAAUCAAAUGUAAGGAGACCACACCAUCCCCUUCUUAAGUAUCAACAGCAAUAAAGUGAAAGCACACAGGUGUCUGAUUUGUUCUUUCUAAUUCGCUAUGAUGACUUGGGGAAGUGUGGCUGCCAAGUGCCGGCUCCUAGUGUGCAUAAAGGCAGUGACUUCAUGAGAACUAUCAGAAGAUUAAAAAAUUCAAAGACAAAGGAUGACAAGAAAGAUGAACGAACUAAAGUAAUUAGUGUUCAUCCCAGUACUAUGUGCUGCUGUAUUGACCCGCUAUGAUCAGUUCCAACAAGAGGCCACGAAUAUACGUACAAAAUGGAAGAAACUGAACAAG